rnacentral:lncRNA from 13 species
ACCCGGCCUUAAAGUUUCACUUGAAAGACAAGCUCCCUGGCAGGAUGUCUUCCCUCCCUGCUCAGGGGCACCUCUUAGCCAGCAGGGGUUGCUUACCGCCCUCUGGGGGCUUGGUUCAGACGGUCAGCCAGGGGAAGCAAAUGGGAUACCACCCUGGGCUGCCUCCCAGGGCCACCGUGGACAAGCUGGGCACACCCAGGAGGUGAGAGGAGGGGACUUGGCUUUACCUGGGCCACCAGCUGAGGGCCAGCAAGCAACUGGGCCAGGAGGGCCUGGAAACACCUCUUCUCAUUCCACUCAAGAUGGCUCUGGGGACAGAAAAAGAACCCUCCGUGCCCCAAAUCCCUGCAUGUUGGGAACAAGGACAGUGCUGGAAAUCGGCUCGCAUUUGCACAGGGCCGGUCAAACAUCUGGGCCCUGUGUCACCUGGGGCUGGGCCGAGGGGGGCCACAUCCUGCUGUGACAUGGCGAGGGUGGGUGGGGUGGACCCGGGCUGCUGUGGGGGAGUGGGGUGGUGGGCUUCUCCCUCCUAACCUCCCAUCCUAUGCCAUGGCCCCUGACUUGGCCCCCUCUUCCAGCCCUGUACUCCCACAGGAUCCCUGGGACCCCUCCCAUGAGCCCUCCAGCCGGGAGCUCUUUGGCCGGCUGGGCCUCGGGUGAUGAGAAGUUUCACUGCCCAGCUCUGUGGUCUGGGUUCUGUCUAACGCAGCUGUCUGUGCAGCUCCCAGGAGAGCCUCCUCUGGAGCGGGCUGUGCGGAGGGAGCUGGAGAACAGGCGGCUCCGGGGACAAGAGUGACGCGGAGCGCCCCGGCCCCCGCCCCCCGGAAUCCAUCACUUCGGAGGGAGCUUCAUGAGCCUCCAAACGAUCCUG